UUGACGGGGCCGCACAAGCGGUGGAGUAUGUGGUUUAAUUCGAUGCAACGCGAAGAACCUUACCUGGUCUUGACAUCCCGGAGACCCUUAGGAAACUAGGGGGUGCUUCCAUCUGGAAGAAUCUGGAGACAGGUGCUGCAUGGCUGUCGUCAGCUCGUGUCGUGAGAUGUGGGUUAAGUCCCGCAACGAGCGCAACCCUUGCCUUUAGUUGCCAGCAGUUCGGCUGGGCACUCUAAAGGGACUGCCGGUGUUAAACCGGAGGAAGGUGGGGAUGACGUCAAGUCCUCAUGGCCUUUAUGACCAGGGCUACACACGUACUACAAUGGCCGAUACAAAGGGCAGCGACACUGCGAGGUGAAGCCAAUCCCGUAAAAUCGGUCUCAGUCCGGAUUGGAGUCUGCAACUCGACUCCAUGAAGUUGGAAUCGCUAGUAAUCGUGGAUCAGCAUGCCACGGUGAAUACGUUCCCGGGCCUU
rnacentral:rRNA from 1 species